GUGCCAGCAGCGGCGGUAAUUACGGAGGGUAGACAAAGACGUUAAAUACGGAAAUUAACUAGGGACGUAAAGCGCACGCAGGCGGUUGAUUAAGUCAGAUGUGAAAUCCCCGGGCUCAACCCGGGAACUGCAUCUGAUACUGGUCAGCUUGAGUCUCGUAGAGGGAGGUAGAAUUCCAGGUGUAGCGGUGAAAUGCGUAGAGGUCUGGAGGAAUACCGGUGGCGAAGGCGGCCCCCUGGACAAAGACUGACGCUCAGGUGCGAAAGCGUGGGGAGCAAACAGGAUUAGAUACCCUGGUAGUCCACGCUGUAAACGAUGUCGACUUGGAGGUUGUGCCCUUGAGGCGUGGCUUCCGGAGCUAACGCGUUAAGUCGACCGCCUGGGGAGUACGGCCGCAAGGUUAAAACUCAAAUGAAUUGACGGGGCCCGCACAAGCGGUGGAGCAUGUGGUUUAAUUCGAUGCAACGCGAAGAACCUUACCUGGUCUUGACAUCCACAGAAGUUUUUCAGAGAUGAGAACGUGCCUUCGGGAACUGUGAGACAGG
rnacentral:rRNA from 1 species